UGCUGUGUUUCUGCAUGUGUGGGUUCGUGUUUGCGGAAGGAGAGAUUGAAGGACUUGACUCGCUGCAAUAAUGAGGGUGUUGGAACGAGUUGAGGGUGAGUGAAGUCUGGGUCUGGGUGGUGAUGAUGGUAUAGUGGUGAGUGAGAUUACAGGAAAUGGCGCCUGCAACUUCAAACUCCUCUUCAUCUUCAACCAUCAUCUUCAUAUGGAUAUCUUUACUGUAAGGCUUCAGACAAUGAAGCUCAACAACUCAGAAAUCUUUGCUGAAGCACGUGCAUAACAGUGAGGGUACAUGUGACAUUUCACUCA
rnacentral:lncRNA from 1 species